CUGCAGGAGAGCCCGGGGGACGUCAGAAGGACCCCGAAGCCCCCCCUCCUGAGAGAUGAGGACAGUUGAGCCAGUAAAGGCUGAAAUUACAAAACCACGUCUAAAGGAGGUGCUCACUACACAUCUGUUCUUUUAAUUUGCUUAAGAGGUUUGGAAGCCCAGGCUCUUGGCCUCUGAAGAGUCUCCUGACACACUUUCCUAGACAGGCCACUGUGGCCAGGUGCUAGUGUCCUGUGGCUGCUGUGACAAGGAGCACCACUGUCGGCACUGCCACUCAAACAGCACAGAUGUCGUCCCCCCAGCUCGGGAGCUGGGAGGUGCCAGGUUCCCCAGGGGGUGACAUGCCCUGCCUUUUCCUGCCCCAGGCCACCCGCAUCCCUCGGCUGGCCGCCCCUUCCCCCGCGCAGAGCCGCGUCCUCUCGGUCACUCCCGGCCCCUCCUGCCCUCCCCAUCCUGGGACGCGGCCUCCCCCCUUCCCCUGUGAGGACGUCUGUGAUUACUCUGAGCCACUGGAUAAUCCCGGAUUGUCUCCCGAUUUUAAGAUCCUUAAAUAAAUCACGUCUGCAGA